rnacentral:rRNA from 1 species
CGUACAGGCGGCCAUGUAAGUCGGAUGUGAAAUUCUUGGGCUUAACCUGAGAACUGCAUUCGAUACUGUGUGGCUUGAGGUCAGGAGAGGAGAGCGGAAUAUGUGGUGUAGCGGUGAAAUGCGUAGAUAUCACAUAGAACACCGGUGGCGAAGGCGGCUCUCUGGCCUGAUACUGACGCUGACGCGCGAAAGCUAGGGUAGCGAACAGGAUUAGAUACCCUGGUAGUCC